rnacentral:lncRNA from 1 species
GAGAUGGAAAUGAUAAUCCAAGAAGUUUUGGGGUUCAAGAAAAGCAAAAAAAAAAAAAAAGUAAAGAGAGAAAAAUCCCCAGCUGAGCGCAAAUUGUUCGUUUGUUAGGGUUGAAUAGAGGAUAGCAUGCUCAUGGCUUGUUAACCCCAGCAUAGGUCGUUGGCACGCGUGCCGCCUCAUUUAUCAUUGUCCCUUCUUUCUGCC